ensembl:lncRNA novel transcript
AUAUACACAGUACCAGUUUCCGUGUUUGUAGGGGUGGGGCUUAUAUGGACGUCCCAAUUAAUGAAAUGCCUGCAAGUCUAGGUUUCAUACAUGGAGUGCAAGAUUCCAUGACGGUGCCUAGAGGAAGUCUCUCAUAGAUGCUCACGUUCUCUCGACAAGAUAUUUGGGGAGGACCCCUGGCUACUGUCACUGCUGCCAUGCCUGCCAGGAGGAGGCACCUUCCUGACACUUCACUGCUGCUGCUCAGCAGGCCUGCCAAGUGGUUCUGCUGUGUUCUAGGAGAAACAGGAAAAAUGCCUCUCCUCCCACUUUGCACUGUGCUUUGUCACCUGGGCCCUAAAACACCAUUGCCUGCCCCUGACGCCCCAACAGCUCCCUCUACCAAACUGAGGCUGGGCUGGGAGACUAGGCACCACACCAUUCCAUUCUCCCUUCUCUUCUUCCAUUCUCCCUUCCCUCCCUCUCUUCUUCCCACUGCCUCCAAGACACCUGUACUGGAACUUUGUCCAUUCUUACACUCACACACACACACAUGCACAUGCAUAUGUGCACACACAAAAGUCUCUUGUCCAUCAGAUCAUACAAAUAUAUGCUUGGGACAGGGGUGAUCACAUGCCCCACAUGCCCAGUGGACAUUUAGGCUCAGAUAGGACAAUUCUUUCACAAGGAUGACAAAACCUACCUUCCGUGGUUGCUGUGAGAACAAGAAAUUGUACAUACAGUGCCCAUUCUGCAGCAAACCCAACAAUGAAUUAAAAUCCACAAUAGGACA